rnacentral:rRNA from 1 species
ACGCUCGACACCUACGGGAGGCAGCAGUGGGGAAUAUUGGGCAAUGGGCGCAAGCCUGACCCAGCAACGCCGCGUGAAGGAAGAAGGCCCUCGGGUUGUAAACUUCUUUUAACAGGGACGAAGCAAGUGACGGUACCUGUUGAAUAAGCCACGGCUAACUACGUGCUAGCAGCCGCGGUAAUCUGAGCGGGCUGGCAAGGC